UCUCUGGUGGCUCAGACAGUAAAGAACCUGCUUGCAAUGCAGGAGACUCAGGUUCGAUCCCUGGGUUGGGAA
rfam:TPA: Bos taurus chromosome 14, whole genome shotgun sequence.